GGGUCCAUGGCUCAGUGGUAGAGCAAUUGACUGCAUAUCAAUAGGUCACCGGUUCGAACCCGGUUGGGCCCU
rfam:Triticum aestivum genome assembly, contig: Triticum_aestivum_CS42_TGACv1_scaffold_288814_4AL